GCGCGAAAACUUUACAAUGCACGAAAGUGUGAUAGGGGGAUACUCAGUGCUUACGAUUAUGUCGUAGGCUUUUGUCGAUCGUAAAUAGAUCGGCGAAUAAGUGGUGGGUAAGACUGGUGCCAGCCGCCGCGGUAACCCCAGCGCCACAAGUGGUCAUCACGAUUAUUGGGCCUAAAGCGUUCGUAGCCGGUUUGGUAAAUCUCUUGUGAAAUUGUUCGGCUUAACCGGACAGCGUGCAGGAGAGACUGCCAGACUCGAGACCGGGAGGCGUAAGAAGUAUGGCAUGGGGACUGGUAAAAUGGGAUAAUCCAUGCUAGACUACCGAUGGCGAAGGCAUCUUACGAGAACGGAUCUGACGGUGAGGAACGAAAGCUAGGGGAGCGAACCGGAUUAGAUACCCCGGUAGUCC
rnacentral:rRNA from 1 species